GUUGGGCUGACCACACACGACAAGGCCCGUCGAACUCUACGUCUGCGUUUUGGAUUAGGGUUAGCGGUGUCUCUGUCCGCGUCUCCACCAUUUCUCCAUCAAGGAUAUUUCGUCUUCUUCAACCGGUGUGAGAUGAGGCAGUAACCGAUUCCCCCUCAUAAAGCCCUCUUAAUCAAUCACGCACGAUCUCCAUUGAAUGCGACCCGGGAGAGUGAAAAGGCGGUGAAGGCUCUGUUAUAAAAUCUCUUCCUCCUCCGUUCGAGUUCGCCUGCUUACGAUUUUGGGAGGCCAUGAACGUCCGGCGUGGUGGAGAGCUUAUGGGAGUCGACAUGCUCCUUCUUGAUUCUCAGAUGGUGACCAAAGAAGAAGAUUGUCUUCCUCCUGCGACAGAGCCGUUGAGAUGUUAUUCUCCUGUUCUACGGCUCCUCUUGCGGAGCUAGAGACUAUUCAAAGCUUAGAAAUUAUGGAACCAUCCUUUCUCUCUCCCGUUUGGUAUAUUAUAAUUCUUUACUUACUCUUCAGUUUUGAGCUUUUCCCUUCACCACAAUCUAAAGAUAGUUGAAAGCUUUAGCUAUGGUCUGACCGUUUCUUUCAGUUCAGUACGUUAUAAAAGUUAACUCUUUUGGUUUAGUUUAGGUUGGACAUUCAAACAGAUUAUUAUAGCUUUGCUGGAUCAUUUAUGUACUCCAGUUUGAUUUUUGUUUUCCAGGUUGCUGUUGGUUUUUUCAACUAGAAUUUAAAACUUUUUCAACAGAAUCAAUCUUCCGGAAAGUCGUCAAUUGAUUCCGUCAGAUCGCUCCUCCUGCGUUUGCUUCGGUUUGACAACUCUAGAAUUCCAAAAAGAAACAGAGUUCUUCAAACUCAAGAGUGUAGGCUUAUGGAAGUAACUAUUGUAGAUCGGAAUGACAUAAACAGAUGCUGGAGCGUACCUAGAAAGAGUUAGACAACUCUUUAGUCAGGAAUUCGGAGUAGUUAUACCAAGACCUAAGUUUUACCAGGCUCAUAUGUUCAAAGCACCUACAAUUACAGCCAAAAUGGUUCGUCCUCUCGGUAUGGUCUCGACCGACAUUGGCCUCCCACUUUGUCAUAAACAGCUCCAUGGGCAUACCUGCAAAUUUGAUCACUCGAUGAGCUCUUCUUCUUCUUCACUAAGCUACAGCUCGACGGUUUCUUCACUCACCGACAUGCCCCUCACGCCUUACCCUCUUGAGUCCUCAUUGCUCAGCACAUUAGCCCCAUCAUCAUCAUCCUCAGAUGAAAUGGCACCGAGCUUCACUCUUCAAGCUCCAUUAAACUCAAUGAGGACGCAACUCUGAUGUAAUGAAGAAGCGUCGAGUGGAAUGAGACAAGAGAUUCACAUUGUUACAACAAGAAGAAGUUUUUGUUGAUUCAGUUUUGGCAUCGUUCAUUAGUGAAGAAGAGCCUAAGUUAGCGUGUGUGUUCUUGGUGGAGAACAUUCAAGACCAGUCAUUGUUGAUCAGAUGGGAUGAGUUAAGGCCAUCAACAUAAAGGUUUGUAUCUUUGAUUUCGUUGUUAAAGGAGACUGAGAAGGAGGAAGAAUGCCUCAUCUUGCUAAAGCAGUACAAGAAGUAGAACUUGUAUGCAAUAGCUCAAUGAAGAGAACCGCAAGUUGUUCAAGCAAUGUAGUAGCGGCUCUCUUCAGUGUUCUACAGAGAAAAGGAAGUCUGGGAGAAAGAGUGCUAAGAUGAUGAACAGCAGCCCAGGAUCUAUCAAUGAAGCAUAAGGUAGUGAUGAUUGAUUUUGCAGUUAUUUAUGUGAACCUGGUUGAUAACUAUGGAGAUCAGUGAAAAUUAAGUUAUUGUUUAGAGAAAACAGGAGUGGAAUGUUUUGAGGGACAAUUGUGGAAACAACAUGUUCACAUUAUCAAAGUUUCAUCUUUUCUUUCAUUUUACCUUCAUAAACUUUGAUACAAAUUUUACAAUUUUGCAGA